GGAAUCAAUAAACAUGAGGAACAUUAAAAUAACCUACAUACUUAAAUGGUAAACAACUAAGUAGCACCCAGGGAUCAAAACCACAGACAACUUGAAGAGACUGUUACUCAAACCCUGUUUAUUGAACUAGCUGUGGGAAGCAGAGGGAAGGCAGACCCUGUUCUGAACCAUGCUUCCCGCAUCUGGAGGUCGGCUGCCCGAGGCAACAGUCCUAAUUAAGAACCAGCAUUUCCUUUAAUCCCAGCACUGGGAAACUGGAGGCAGAGUGAUUUCCACUAGUUUGAGUCCAGCACUGUCUACCUUGUAAGUUCCAGUGUAGAUGGGACUACUAGUAGUGAGAAAUCUGUCUAUUUUUUAAAAAGGAGGAAAAGUGUAGCAAGGUGUAUUGGUGUAUCCCUUUAUUCCUAGCAUUCAGGAGGCAAAGGCAGGUGGAUCUCUGAGUUCCUGGACAGCCUGGUCUACAGAGUGCAUUCCAGACCAACCUGAGCUACCUAAUAAGACCCCACCUUGAAAACAAAACAACACCUCCCUCCCAAAAAAGGGGGGGGGGGGAGAAAAAUGAAUCAGAAUUCCAUUCUCAAGUUAUAAAUAGCUACCAGGAAUAAAAUACAAGACUAUGAAAUAAUGUCACAGGAACAGAAGCCAGGUGUGGUGGCACACACCUUUGAUCCCAGUGCUCUAGAGGCAAUCCAGGCCAGCCUGAUCUACAUAGUGAGUUCUGACAGCUGGGGCUAUAUAGAGAAACCCUGUCUCAAUAACAAACACACACAAAGCCCUAGGAAAAAGUAGUUGAGCAGAGAUAGACCAUGGUACAAGCAACUAGGAGCUGCUGAGCUGAUUUGUAGUUGACAAGUCCUUCUGGCUUAAUGAAGUAGAUCUCAGUCUAAAGAGCAGAUUUCUUGUGUCCACUAGAGGUCAGUGUCUCCACUUAGUGAGCCCCUUCCUGCUAAAACAAAACAAAAUUCCCUCACUGCACCAGUCAACAAGUAUUCUGGGUACUACUACGCAGAGGUAGAUAGAGGUAGGUAGAGGUAGAUAACACUGCAUUGUUCUGAAGGACCGUUCUGAGAAGCUGUGAUGUCAGGAGCACUGUUGCCCUGGUCCACUGGUACACCCAGGGCAGAGUGGAUGGGCCUGAAGCAACCAACGUCUUCCCUUGCAAGAUCUCCUUCAGAUUAAAGAUGAGCUGAGGGAAUAUGAAUUGGUAGCUGCCCCAAUUUUAAUUUUAGUCUGUGAUUCCCUGCCCCCCCCCCAAACUCUUGGGAGGCAGUUACUAAUACCUUUUAGUGACAUGGGCCUGACAGUGACAGGGCUUCUCAGUUUUUAGGCCUUGGGAUGAAUUUUGGUAGAGUGAGGCUCUCUAGUGAGUUAAUGACCCACAGGGUGAGAUAGGGCUAUCCAUUGUAUAAAAAGGGAGGCGGGCAUAGGAGCUGGUGGCAGGGCAUAGAUAUGUAUGGUGGAGACUGGAGCCGGGACAGUACGCAGGGACUUAGGGCUGUUUGGCUGCACCAGCUUUAGUGGCUGUUAGCAUGCACCCAGAGAAGGGGGAGAACCUUACCAAGCCUGUGCUGAUCCUCUGGAACCUGGCACGAGGGAGGGAAAGGCUACCCUGGGCCUCUGACCCUACAAAAUGUGCUGUGACAGUAAACCAUAGAGGUAUCUGGAAAGGAGAGCAAAAGACACAACCAGUAGUGUUGGUGACUCUCCCAAUGCUGUGAUAAAGCACCAUGGUCAAGGAAACUUAGAAGAGUCUCUUUGGGCUUACCGAUCCAAAGGGGUAAGUCUGGCGUAGUGGGGAGACGUGGCAGCCACAACGGGUAUGGUGGCAGAUGUAGGAUGCUGAGAACUCACGCCCUGAACAGGCAGGAAACAGAGUGUCUUGGGAAUGGCAUGUAGCUUUUAAACCUCAAAGCCCACACCUAGUGACAUACUUCCUUCAACAAAGCCACACUACCUACACCUCCCCACCCAGUGCCACCAACUAGGCACUCAGACAUCUGAGACAAUGGGGGACAUUUUUAUUC
rnacentral:lncRNA from 1 species